CAGUAGCCGCGGGAAUACGUAGGGUGCGAGCGUUAAUCGGAAUUACUGGGCGUAAAGCGUGCGCAGGCGGUUGUGUAAGACAGGUGUGAAAUCCCCGGGCUUAACCUGGGAACUGCGCUUGUGACUGCACAGCUAGAGUAUGGCAGAGGGGGGUGGAAUUCCACGUGUAGCAGUGAAAAGCGUAGAGAUGUGGAGGAACACCGAUGGCGAAGGCAGCCCCCUGGGCCAAUACUGACGCUCAUGCACGAAAGCGUGGGGAGCAAACAGGAUUAGAUACCCGCGUAGUCCCUGUCUCUUAUAC
rnacentral:rRNA from 1 species